rnacentral:lncRNA from 1 species
ACAAGGCUUCUUGAGUCUUGGAUGCAGGAGCUGUGCUGUAGAUGGGUCCCAUGGCACCGGAGACCUCCUUUCACGGCGUGUGUCUCAGCGGAGGCCACAGAAACGUUGGUCGUGCCUGUCCAGAGAGUCUGAUGGCUCAAAGAAUUUCCUGUGAGUGGAGGGACACAGCAAUUACUGGGAAACCACGCCUAUGCCUGGAGCACCUUCUAUCCAUCCCACCUUGGAGCCCAAGACCUUCCGUAGCUCUGUGGUUCAGAGCCCGUGGCCAAUCAGUUGGAAUGAACACAAGGCAGAACCUCUUUAGUAGCAUUGGAUUAGGGAACUAAGGCGGGCUGUGAACUUCAGUCUACGGUAAGCACAGCACCCAGGAAGGAAGAGACUGAUUUAGCCUAUCACAAGAGCUCCUUUUUCAUUUUUCUUUAAUUUUAUCUUAUUGUUUAUUUUGGUUUUUGGAGACUGGGUUUCUCUGUGUAGCUCUGGUUGCCCUGGAACUUGCUCUGUAGACCAGGCUAGCCUCGAACUCAAGAGAUCUGCCUGCCCCUGCCUCCCGAGUGCUGGGAUUAAAGGUGUGGGUCACCAUACUUGGCUUAUUAUUUAUUUUAAAUAAAACUGGUGCUUCAACCUCUAGAGUCAGGAGAGAGUUGGUUGGAGUUGGCAGGUAAGAAUGAGGUGUGGCCAGUCCCAGAGGAAGUGAGCGAUGGAAGAAAAAGCAGCCACAGAUGUUUGGAAAUUCCCUGGAGUCCCGCUGCUUCUCUUCUUGGACUUUUUCUUAUGACUCUCCUGAUAUGACUCUCCUUAUGACUAUUGGUGAAGUGACUCAGAACAGUGGCCAUGAACAAACAGAGAGUCUGUCACCUACCACUUCUGGCAUCCCUGGACUUUUCU